rnacentral:rRNA from 1 species
GGCGGACGGGUGAGGAACCCUUGGGAAUCUGCCCUUCAGCGGGGGACAACCCGGGGAAACCNGGGCUAAUACCGCAUACGCUCCACGGAGGAAAGCCGGGGACCGCAAGGCCUGGCACUGAAGGAUGAGCCCAAGUCGGAUUAGCUAGUUGGCGGGGUAACGGCCCACCAAGGCGACGAUCCGUAGCUGGUCUGAGAGGACGAUCAGCCACACUGGGACUGAGACACGGCCCAGACUCCUACGGGAGGCAGCAGUGGGGAAUAUUGGACAAUGGGGGAAACCCUGAUCCAGCGACGCCGCGUGGGUGAAGAAGGCCUGCGGGUUGUAAAGCCCUUUCGGUAGGGACGAAAACUCUCNACCUAACACNUCGGGA